CUUCAGAAGGGCCACGGGGUGGGCAGUGUAGAGUCGGUACACUGAAGAGAAAAGCCAGGGGGUAGAGCGGGGGACUCUCACGGGUUGUCACUAGCCUGAAAAUCUCCCUGCCCCCAGGCCUGGAAUCGUCAUGUUUAACAGCCACUCAGAGCGAGUCUCAUAUUCUGCAAAGAUGAGUACCAUCAGCAAAGCCCAUGCAAGCCAGAGUCUGCAGCUCAAAAUGGUGUGGUGAUGGAUUUGUGGGACCUGGACGAGUGAUUUAUACUGUGAGCUUGUGUCAACUAAAGGUGCCUUAGGACCCAGCCGGUUUUAUGGUUGGUGUCCAUCCACACUUCUAAACCAAAAAGGUCUCUGCCAUCCCUUGGACCACCGCUCUGCACAAGUAUGUAGAACCUUGAGGGCCCUUACCUCCGUACUUCCUGGCUGCAGCUCGUGCAAGCGGGAGGCUAGCACGGGGCCUGGUGGGUCCCAUGGAGGUGCCCAUACUCUUUCCAGCAGCAAGGCUUCUGUGGCUACAGAGGUAACUUGUAGUCAUUGAUGACCUUGGGCCUAGAGGGCCCAUGAAGGAGUGCAAUCUUGAACUUUGUCCAGAUUCAGCAUUUACACCUAUGCAACCCAGCGUGACAGACACACCUAUGCAACCCAGUGUGACAGACACACCUAUGCAACCCAGUGUGACAGACACACCUAUGCAACCCAGUGUGACAGACACACCUAUGCAACCCAGUGUGACAGACAUACCUAUGCAACCCAGUGUGACAGACACGAGAAGAGGAGAAGGGGCUGGAAGCCGAGGCCAGGGAACGAUGAAGAGGCCUCCGGGGACAGUGGAUCUCAGAGGUGAAGAAGACUCGCGACUUCAGGGCCUGCGGUAGGUAGGUUCCUGGUCCUAGUGACGUAGUCUACCUUACUGUCCAAUGAGAUUUUUAUAUCUUGGAAGAAGAUAGCCCUGUUCUGCUUAGCAGUGUCAUUCCUAAGUAAUCUUGGUCACUUUCUUUUUAACAGUUCACAAUAAUAGUAAUUCCAGUUUCUUCUAAUCUGGGUGGUUUGGCAAAUCUAGUAAACCGGCAUGCCAGAGAGAUUCCCAUGAAUUCUGGAGGCUUACCCUCUCACGGUAAACCCUUUCCUAACUUCUUACUGCCACUGAAAUGUAGGUGAUUCUCCUCUCUGCACCAUCUACCCCAGGCUCUCCCACUCCCAUCUCAGCCUUCUAGUGACAGUGUUGACAGACCAGAUUUUCACUAACAGUUUGCUUUAAGAGGUGGCAGCCAAUUUCUGUGUUUCAAGCACAGAUUAGAAAACCUAGAAGAAGCCUUACAUCCCGUGGAAGGUUCUAGGUUGAACUUUGCCAACCCCCUCACAGCUCAUUGCAGCGUGAGCAGUUUACCACGCUCACUACUCCACAACCUGCUCAGGAGACUUUCCAGCUCUCCAGCCCCGGUGGGCUCAUUUGAAGGGACAGAGUCUCCCCUGAGAGGGAGGCCAGCAUUUGCAACCACGAAGCACCUGCUAAGAGCGCCACGUGAUAGCAUCCUCACCAGCUGUGCCCGGGGUCAUGGGGGAGGGAGUGUGUCCUCGUGUGCUGUGGGUAGUUGGAGAUUGCAUCCACUGCAGCAUUGACUCUCCUGGCACCUGAGAGAGGAGCUUGCUUUCUCCCUUAAGAACAGAGACCUGGAGUUCCAGGUAGCAAGUGACAGUGAGAAACUCCACUGCUUCUCUGGAACCUUCUGGAUGCACACAAACACGGGGAUGCCCUCGAUGUUGGCAGAUGGAUAGUUUGGAUCCAGAAACCUCAGGAACAAACUCUACAGUGACUCUCCUGGGAUGGACAAGCUAACGUGUCCCAGGGGCUGGUAAAGUCACUGAGGAGGAGAAGGGGGUGCUGUCUCACCAAGUCUCACAUCCUCACACCAUCUUUUCAACAUGCAAAGCCAAGGUGAAUGACCACCCUAAGUGUGCUCACAGCAUCUUAAAACUCUAAAGUUUAAUGUACACGUCAUCAGGAGUGCUGCUUGAAUAAAUUCCUAUUGAAUGGGUCUGUGGUGAGGGCUGGGACUGGGAUCUUCAUCCGAAAUGAGUGAUACUGAUGUUUCCCCAUGCCGGGGCCACACUGUGGGAGAACAUUCUGGAUGCUUGUACUGACUGGUUUUGUGUGUCUCUGUGCGGGUAGCCUUGGGUUCUAUAAGAGAGCAGGCUGAGCAAGCCAGAGGAAGCAAGUCAUUAAGAAACAUCCCUCCAUGGCCUCUACGUCAGCUCCUGCUUCCUGACCUGCCUGAGUUCCAGUCCUGACUUCCUUUAGUGAUGAACAGCAGUGUGGAAGUGUAACAAGUUCCUCCCCAACUUGUUUCUUGGUCAUGAUGUUUGUGUAGGAAUGGAACCCUGACUGAGACACUGCCCUUCCCCAGCUGUUAAUCUUAAAGAUGGGAAGGAAAAGACCACCAACCCAAGUCACUGAGGCCAAAUUAGUUAAAGCAGGAAAUUGAUUGAAGCAAGCUUUUAAAAUUCACGUACGCGGGCUGCCUCCCCUGAAGGUGGUGUUCUAGAGGUCAGCACUGAACAUGAGGAAAGGCAAGGUUGUGAGCUCAGCGGCAGGGGGUUUCCAGACGGAGGAUUUGCUGGGUAGAAUCGUGGGUUACAGGGGCAGAAAGUAAGCACAGCAGGUUAGCGUCAUAGCAGCCCUCGAAACAGACGAGAUUACCGUGCCUGGAACAGACAAGACAAACUACAAACAUCCAGAAACAGACAGACAGACUACAAACAUCCAGAAACAGACAGACAGACUACAAACAUCCAGAAGCAGACAGACAGACCAUCUGUAGUUAAGGUGGGGGCAUAGCCCAGUCCUGGAGAAACAGAGGUUUAGUCAUAAGCAGGGAUGAACAUAGUCUGUCCUUAUCAUAAGAUGGCUUUUAAGCCUAAGAUGGUGCCAAUGACUGUCUUUGGCAUCCAUGUGGUGGGUAAACUGAGGCAGGCAGCUGUUGGGGGUCAGUGCUUAGAGCGGCUGACCAGGAUGGAUCCAGAUACAGAGGCUGCUGCCAAAGGCAGCACAAUUAGAGAAGCUGCCCCUCUUUUUUCUGAGAGAAAAAAGAUUAAUUUACUGUGGCUGGCACUCUCAGUGACUGAAAAACUGUAAACUCUUAACUCUUGGGGCCAUCGAGAAAGAGAAGGAAAGAGAAAAUUCACACACACACACACACACACACACACACUGAAUGGAAAAAAUGAAAGGAAGAAUCCAAUAACUUCAUAUAUGCAAAUAUACAUGCAUAUGUACAUAUAUACAUGCAUGCAUUCAUACAUGUAUACAGACCUACAGAUACACACACAUACACAUACAUAUACAUACACACAUACAUACACACAUAUACACACAUACAUAUAUUUAUAUAUUCAGACAUAGAAUGGUUAGAGCAAAGCUCCAACAAGCAGGCUCCAAGUAUUACACACGCACACACACACACACACAUACACACACACACACAAAUAUACACAAUUGGUGGGUGGAAGGAACAAUGUUCCAAACUCCUCUCGAACAAACUUAGCACACACCCAGAGUUGAUGGAUGGGGGAGAAAAUGUUCCAGUCCCGCCAUUUUCUUUCCUUUCCACUGCUCAUACACCCCAGCAAAACCUCUCAAGCAGUACAGUUACAAUGUGGCUAUGUUUUAGUGUUCUUCUAGUGAAUGACUGUGAAAAAAACAAUGUGCUUUCUAAUACCUUUACAAGAAAUCACAGCACGUAGUACAGGUAAAGAAACAAAGUAUUCUAAAAACAAAAACCCCACAUACACUCCUAGCUUGUUAGAGAUGCCGAGGGCAGGCAGGCAAGGCCGGUUCCUCAGCCGUUACAAAGAAAGAAGCAAUUAUUUUAUUAUUUAUCUUUAAACUUGUAAGAAUCUUAAAAGAAUCACAAAUCUAAACUUUUAUAUAAAAAUCAGUCGUAUCCACGUUAAAUCCUCAAAAUGCAUAUCUACAUCAGCAAUUCUUAAUUAGGCACAUCAGGAAGCAGAGAGCAAAAAUGGGCAUCAGAACCCAGUCUCCACCAGUCCAGCCUCAGGGAGUCAGGCCAGCCAGGGCUGCCUUGUUCUUGCUCCCUGACCACAAAGGGCCCUCGCUUAACUGCUAAGGGUGGGCCUGUCUCAACUUCAGAUUGUUCCCUAAGAUUGUCUUUGUUUUUUUAUAUCAGACUCAGUAGUAAAAACAUCUCUACAUAGCUUCACUAACAACUUUAUGUUUCCAAAUGUUUUCUAAGGGUGUGUGUGGGGGUUCUACUGACAAUCUCCAUCUCUAAGUUCCUCUCUGGGAUGGUGAUAGAAUCCGAAUCUGCUGCAGCAGCCAUGUCUGAAAGAGCUCAAGCAUUAAUAAUAUGAGUGCCAGAGACCCUGCCCAGCGAGGGACUGGACGCCCCCAUGGAGGUUUCAUACAGCUCUUAGAUUAAGAGGCCCGUGAGGGCAGCAAGCAGAACAGAACUCCACAACAGCAUCAAGUCCUCAGGACACAGCCCUCAGGGCCGUGCCACACCGAGACCCACCCAUGUGCCCGGGAGACCUGUGGGCCGCUUUCCAUGAGUUCUAAAGCCUUCUGUUGUUCCUCCUGUGUGGCCCUCGGCAAGAUGGGCACAGGAUGGUUCUCCACAGGCCCGAUAUUUGCAAACAAAGGCAAAGCAUAGGUACCCUGGAGAAGACCGUUCUUAACUCCAGAGGCCAUAGCUGGAGGUGGACCGUGACCGUGAACUCUGCAUUAAAGAAGGGAAAGGAAGAGAAAAAGAGUAAGACCAUCUUAGAGUUGCUCCAUAGAUAGCAGCCACUUAUUUUAUCCUUGUUGGACGUGUUUAGCAACAGUACAUGUGAGUGGAGUCCCUUGUUUUUUGUUUUGUUUUCUUUCUUUCCUGAGGCACUUGGUUUUUGCUGGCCUUCAUAUAGCUCACUGACCAGGCUGUGACCUCCCUCAGAAGGCUGCUAACAGGGACAUUAGGGGAGAUUUGACCUUUCGUCAUAGAAUGAAAGGAUUGGACCAUUUUCGAGAUCAGGAUGGGGGAUCCAGGGGACAGCCUCUUUGUCGAUGGUAGCCAGUUGAGAGGCAGCUGGAUGAGUGUUCACCCACAUGUCCGCCUUCCUCUAUGAAGCAAAAGCACAGCUUUCACCUCAAGGAGAUAAGAGAUCAUUUAUUCCGGGGCCAAAUCUGAGUAACCGUGUCCCAGGGCAUGGAACUAGGCUCUCCCUGGAUUCCACGUUCUAACAUGGACGGAGUUUCAUUAAGGGUUUAAAGUAGCACAACAGAGACAGUCACAAAGGCACUUUUCGAAUGGUUGAUGGAAACGUUAGAAAGGCUGGUUACGGCAGAAGGGAGAAACGUCUGUUGGGGGCCUCAGGUGCUCCCUGACUGACGAUAAUCUUGGCUUUGAGUUGAGUCUGCGGAGUUAAUACAUUCCAAUGAAAAGCCAGGACUCUGUUCCUACGUCCCAAAUGAUCUGUCUGACGGCUGUUAAGCCUCCAGGCCAGUUCCAGCGGAGGCAAUAUAUGGCUCUCCAGAGGACUUAAAGAUGACCCAAGAUCAUCUGGCUCUGGACUUGGAACAUUCCAAACUCUCCACAGCUACGGAAGUUCAAAUCAGUCAGCUUUGCAGAAGGUUCACUCUGCAGGAAUGACGGAACAAACCUGGGAACUGUUGCUCGUAGCUUCCAAAGCAAAGCGUGUCUCCUCGCUGCUUCCACCAGAGGCUGCAGCCGAGUCUAGACCCACAGCCUGGGCUAGCUGACCCUUGGCUCUCACUCACCCAGCUCUCCGUGUCCCUCUGUAGAUCAGUGACCCCCAGUGACUGUGGUUAGAAUGUCCAAAGCAAAUAAGACAAGACGGCCCACCAGCCUCAGGGGACGCGGAAGUCUCAGUAAUGGAGUCGAGACCAAGAGAAAUCUGUAGGCUGGGCAUUGUUAAAGGAACCCACGGUUAGCUGCCUUCGCCUAAGCACCUUUGUCUGGACGCACUAAGUAAUUUACCAGUUCCGUCAAACUUCCUGAGGAUGUGGGAAGACGCUCUCCCUUACACAGGCAGUGAAGGAGACACCCGCGGCCAGAGGCCCACACGGAUGGCCAGAGGACCACAGACCAGAACACAAACAAAGGCGUGCGUCAGAGCCAGCCAGGCAAACGUCGCCUGACUUCACUCACUUGCAGUGGAGAAAGAAGGUGAAUUGGCUUUAAAUCGAGAGACAAGCAAAUGAAAAAUUGGGGGUAUUUGAAAUUUAGUUAAGAAUAGAGUCACCCCUCCAUAUUUCCGGUCGUCAAUACAGUAAGUUAUUCUCUGUGACUUAUCCCACAGGGUCGCUGCUACCCUGUCUCCACUUUGUGGUUCUAGAGACUGAACCCAGUGUCUCCUGAAUGUUCAGCAAAUGCUCUACCACUGAGCUGCACCCCAGCCUUAUUUAUUUAUUUAUUUAUUUAUUUAUUUAUUUAUUUAUUUAUUUAACUUAUUUUUUAAAAUGUUGAGACAGGGCUUCCCUAAGUUACCCAGGCUGGUCUUCAACACAGUCUGUAGCCCAAGGUAGUUCUUCAACCUGCAAUCCUCCUGCCUCAGCUUUUGAAAUAGCUAGACUUUAUAGGCCUGAGCCACCUAGCCCAGCUACUGUUCUUUAUAAAACUAGCACUACCCUGAGCCUGGUAACCGAUAUCUGAUAGUCUGUAUCGAAUUGUUUGGCCCACGCAUUUCAAAUGCAUCGGGGAGCUGACUGCAUAUUAAGUUGCCACCUAAAUUUUUCAAGAUGAUUAUUUAGAUGUUAAAAUUCCUUAAAGGUACGCUCAGUGGGGUGUCAUUUGCCACACCCUCUGUUAACCCUUUGAACCUUGCCCUCAUUGGGGAGGGUUCUAUGCUAGGCUUUCUGAGACAGAGCUCCCUGUUGGUGAAGUGUGUUGCCUACAGGUUGAAUUUCUCUUCCUCUGAAUGGGACAGAGAUCUCAGAAUGUGAGGCCGAUCCGGAAGUCCCAGACCCGGAAGUCCCAGUCCAUCCUGAAGGGAAUGAGAACCACAGCUAGGCAAAGUCCUUCCUUGCUCUGGGCUUUAGAAAACACAGUGAGGGACUGGAGAGAUGGCUCAGUGGGUAAGAGCAUUGACUGCUCUUCCAUGAGUUCAAAUCCCAGCAUCCACAUGGUGGCUCACAACCAUCCAUAAAGAGAUCUGACACCUACAGUGUACUUACAUAUAAUAAAUAAAUAUUAAAAAAAAAAAAAAAGAAAACACAGUGACCCAGGAAUCUUCUAAGAAAACCAAUUUGUGUAAUCACCGUCAGGGAGGAAGGUUCUCCUUCCAAAGAUUAACUUCCCUUUCCUGGUUCCCCUGCCCCCCACCACUAUCUCUUUUCAGCCUGAAUUUUAUGACUCUCCAAUCAACACUAGGAAUUAGACUCAUUAAUCAUUUAUUUUGGGAAGAGAAUUAAAAGAGCCUUGUGGCCCACCUGUGGCAAUUAAGCCUCCCCUCCUCGGUCUCUCUCCCAGUCACAGAGCUGAGGCCCCAGCCCUGGCCAGUUUCCAGCGUUGGUUGUUAUAUUUAGCCUGACUCAAAGUUCUCCCCAGCCGUUGAGCCCAAGGCCACAUUUUCCUUUCCCGGAGCUUGCGUGUGGGCUGACCCAUUUCCUUGGGGGCCUAUCUUGUGAACCUGGCUCUGGCAUUGCUCUGUAAGGGAAUUUCAGAGAGCAGGGUCAUUUGAUCCUGGGGGACUCUCCUCCAGACCAUCUAUAGAAUGGAUUUGUUGAUGGACACCUGGCGUGAAGAAGCUGACUUCCGAGAGAUGAGUGUGAAAAUCCACAAUGCUAGCUGGAGUCUUCUGGUCUCAGCGGAAUGGGAAGGGGCGUACACCAGAGGCAUUUCUUCAGUAGUGUGCAGCCUGAGGGUGCUGUCAGAUUUGGACAAGAUUUAGUAACAGAGAUGACCUGUGGGGAAUGAGCCGGCGUGGGGGAGGGAGGGGGAGGGAGGGCUUGAGAUGGCAAAAGCAUUCCAGGCUCUGAUAUGCAUGCAAAUUUUACACUCUUCCCUGAUGCCACACUGACCCGCAAUCAGGGCAACUUGUAUCUCAGGGGAGGCAUAAUUAUCUUAAAUCAUUCCCAUUCAUGGUAAGAAGGCAGGAUGGAAAGGCAGGGAAAAUCAUGGGGAGACAGGAAGCAAAGAGAGCUCUUCACUCCAGAGUCUCUUGAAGCCCCUCCCCAGCUAGGAAUCAAGAAUCGCAGCACAAUUACUGACAACUGUUGUGAAGGCCGCUGAUACAAAGCCUGUGUGUGUGUGUGUGUUUAUGUGUGUGUGUGUGUGUAUAUGCAUAUAUAUGUCUGUGUAUUAUAUAUAUAUGUAUAUAAAGAUGUUUUCAAAAACGAAUGUUAAAAUAUCAGUGAGUUAAGCAGAAGACUAGCUGAUAUGACCUUUCUCCUUUCUCUGUCACAAAUCUACAAUUUUCUCAGAAUCUCAUCAGAAAACCCAUUUACAGUAAAAGAUGUAUCCAAAUCCCCUUGCGUCACCCUUGUGGUGCAUGGUUAUAAUAUAUCAGAUUGCAAUCCAUCCUCCACACCCCUUGGGCUGCCCUGUUGCAAUCACUUAUUGGAAAUUAGAGGGAGGAGUGCAAGUUUCUUAAUAACUCUUUAGAGGUUAAGUUGAAGACCUACAAAAGCCGAGAAUUAGCCAUUGUUAAGACACUGAAGUGAGCCUGCUCUGGGAAACCUGCAGCCCUGCCUGAAAGGUGGGCCUGCCAGUCCCCUGCGCCUCAGUCUGGCUCAGCCUGAAAUCCUUUUCUGCAGUGACGUUAAGGACCUUACCUGAGUGGAGGUCCCUAGGAGCUUACUGGACGUCCUCAGGCCGCUGGUGGCAGUUCUGAGCUUGUCUCCUGUUGUCUUCCCACAGACAGGAAGACAACCAGGCUAUUUAUUGCUUUCAUAGAAAAUGUUGCUAGUUUCUUCUUUCAACAUCCACAUGUUCUGAAUGUUUGGUUUUAGGACCAAAUGUAUUGGGAAAACGCAGUUUUGUCAAAAAAACAAUCUUGAAAAAAAAAAAAAAAACCAAAAACAAAACCUUGACUUGCUGGAAACUAUUUGGAAAUCAGAGAAAAGAAAUUGUAAAUUUACUAAAUUUAAAUUUACUAAAUGCAACUACCUCCAUGUCAGCCAUCAGGUGAAAAAGUCAUCUCACCUUUAAAAGUCAAAAUUAUGCUCUUCACACUUGUGUGUGUGUGUGCAUUUAACAUAUAGCACAUAACACUCACCUCUCUACUGAAAUUUUCUAGAAAAUGUCUGACCUCUAAGGAGGUCAUUUCUUUUCCAACGAUUUUCCUUCUUCCUUGAAGUACAAUGUAAAGAGAUAAUACAGGAAUCCAGAGGUGUUUGGAGGUAAAUAUAAUCUCCUGCAUGGAAGCGCUGUGAGGAGAGGCAAGGUCAGACUCCGGCAUGCCCCAACUCAGGAAUCCAAAGGGAAGGUAAAUCAUCCACCCGGAAAGUAUCAAUGGUCCAACACACUGCUGAACACGCUGGUUCGAUAACGGAGCGAACAUAAAUUCCACAGCUGGGCAUCAAGUCUGCUUUGUAUUUUUGUUUGUGUCAUUCAAGAGUGAUUUUUGUUUUAUCACAGUGUUUAGCAUCUCAGCGAAAGCAAAGUCUAUCACCUGAUGCAUUCAGGAUCACUGUGUGUCAGGCAAAAUUGCAAAAUUCUAAUGACUUUCGUCUUUGGACAGUUUCAACCAGCAGAUACGUUAGUGACACACGAGUGAACAUUCUGGGAGCAAAUGGAGAAGUUAACUUUCCUUAUCUCGAAGUCUUCAUCGACCUUUCCUUGUAACAGGUUGCUUCUGGUCACUUUUGGUGGACUGUUUUGUGAGGGCGGUCUUGCUGUUCUGUCCCCAGGGAAAGCGUGUGGGCACUGGGGUCAGCGAUGUGUCACUGGGAUACUACUGCUUCACAACGACAGUCUCACUCGCACGCUGUGUAGAAUUAAACACAAUCAAGCCAAACCUGUUUGUGAUGGGCCAUUUGUCAGUUAAUGAAGCUCAAUUCUUGGGUUUUCCUAGAGACAAGGAGAUCACACCUUCUGACCUUGUCAAAAAAGGGAAUUUUUGGUGAUUCCUGUAUCAUUAUUCGGACGUGAGUUAGAAGUAUAUCAAUUUGGAAGUGCUCUCAGGGCCAUAUCUUAUCCUGUCCACUUCCUAUGUGCUGCUUCUCUCUGCUUCCUGUCCACUUAGAAGAAAUAAAUGGCUUCCCAAAUGUUCUCCCUACCAUGAUGUUCUGCCCACGCAACGGUGGGCUAAACCAUGGAAAACCAUGAGCCAUGAUGAAUCCAUCUUCCCUUAAGCUACUUUUGAUCCUAACAAUUAAAAAGCAAUUAACAGUCUCUUAUAGCAGACCAAAGGCAGUUGCCAUUGUAAAUAAAGGGUCAUUGUAACUGAAAUAAAAAUAAAUGCAACUUCACAGCAGCCAUCAGGUGAAAAGGUCAUCUCACUUUAAAAAGCAAAAUUAUGCUCUUCACACUUGUGUGUGUGUGUGUGUGGUGUGUUUAACAUAUAACAUGUAAUACUCACCUCUUUGUUGAAAUUUUCUAGAAAAUGUUUAACCUCUGAGGAUGUUUUUCACCUUCUUGUCCCUAAUUUGGAAGAUUUUUCCAAGGUGGGAAACCAUCUUAAAUUUACCUAAAAGGUCACUUUCUAAGUCAACAAAUGACCCCAAACAAACAGACUCUCACCCUAGACGUCACUCUGUUAAAUGCCGCCGUGUGAGGGUGUCAGGCGGGCAUCACUAAUCGACGCCAAAGGAGCUGUCGUUGACUCAUUCCACAGCUCAGCACCAACUGCGUCCCUGUGCUCAGCUCUUGCUCAGCACCUGUUUCUUCUUGUUGCUUCUGCAUCGUGCUCAAGAGCAUCCUUACUCCCUCCACAGUGACUGGACGUAAGGCCAGAAUCCAGGCUGGGUCUACUAAUUGCUGAUUCUGCACCGGGGUGCUCUUGAGGAUUUGAAAGUGCCUCUUUCCGGAUUAGUGUGUGGGUUGCAGCCACUGUUUCACGGUGUGGGGUAUGUGUAACACACUGUGAAGGGCAGCGCACACGCACAGUCCUAACCAACCCUGUCGGGCAUUCUUCUGCUUUCUUUAGUCUUCUCGCUCACUGGGAUUGAUCUCCUAGCCACUCUUAUUGUUUCUGAAGCAGGUCCAGUCCCUAUUACACCAGAUCGAGAACCCGGAGAUAUCUGAUCUGAAUCGGUUUUAAGAACAGAACAGAACAGAACAGAACAGAACAGAACAGAACAGAACAGAAUCCUCUAGUUCAUCAUUCAUAUCCCUGGCAGCAUAACUCAAAACCUUUAUUAAUUCCUUAUUAUCUAUCCAUAAGAAACAAAUCCACCCUUAGUCCGGCUCUCGUCAUCUAACUUCAACCUUCUUUCCCCUCCCCCAGUGCUAGGGAUUGAAUUUAGGACCAUACACAUAGGGAGCACUCACUCUACUACGGAGCUAUAGUCCUAGCUUUCAACUUAUUAUUAUUUUUCAAUUUUUAUUUAUUCUUUGACAAUUUUACAUUUGGAUAGUGCUGCUUUAUUAUAUCUGCCCCAACUCCAUACAUCUACUCUCCUAGAGACUCUCAUGUCCCCUUCCUACCUUCACGCUGCUGCCACUCCUCCUCCUCUCCCUCCUCCUCCUCUCCCUCCCUCUCCUCUACCUCCUCCUCCUCU